CCGUUGUGAACCAGCGGAGGGAUCAUUA
rnacentral:rRNA from 1 species